rnacentral:rRNA from 1 species
GGCGAACGCUGGCGGCGUGCUUAACACAUGCAAGUCGAGCGGUAAGGCCCUUUCGGGGGUACACGAGCGGCGAACGGGUGAGUAACACGUGGGUGACCUGCCCUCAGCUCUGGGAUAAGCCCGGGAAACUGGGUCUAAUACUGGAUAUGACUCCAUGACGCAUGUUGUGGGGUGGAAAGCCUUGUGCGGCUGGGGAUGGGCCCGCGGCCUAUCAGCUUGUUGGUGGGGUGAUGGCCUACCAAGGCGACGACGGGUAGCCGGCCUGAGAGGGCGACCGGCCACACUGGGACUGAGACACGGCCCAGACUCCUACGGGAGGCAGCAGUGGGGAAUCUUGCGCAAUGGGCGAAAGCCUGACGCAGCGACGCCGCGUGAGGGAUGACGGCCU